rnacentral:rRNA from 1 species
UACGGGGGGGGCAAGCGUUGUUCGGAAUUACUGGGCGUGAAGGGCUCGUAGGUGGCCAACUAAGUCAGACGUGAAAUCCCUCGGCUUAACCGGGGAACUGCGUCUGAUACUGGAUGGCUUGAGUUCGGGAGAGGGAUGCGGAAUUCCAGGUGUAGCGGUGAAAUGCGUAGAUAUCUGGAGGAACACCGGUGGCGAAGGCGGCAUCCUGGACCGACACUGACACUGAGGAGCGAAAGCCAGGGGAGCAAACGGG